AUUGAACGCUGGCGGCAGGCCUAACACAUGCAAGUCGAGCGGAUGAAGGGAGCUUGCUCCUGGAUUCAGCGGCGGACGGGUGAGUAAUGCCUAGGAAUCUGCCUGGUAGUGGGGGAUAACGUCCGGAAACGGGCGCUAAUACCGCAUACGUCCUGAGGGAGAAAGUGGGGGAUCUUCGGACCUCACGCUAUCAGAUGAGCCUAGGUCGGAUUAGCUAGUUGGUGGGGUAAAGGCCUACCAAGGCGACGAUCCGUAACUGGUCUGAGAGGAUGAUCAGUCACACUGGAACUGAGACACGGUCCAGACUCCUACGGGAGGCAGCAGUGGGGAAUAUUGGACAAUGGGCGAAAGCCUGAUCCAGCCAUGCCGCGUGUGUGAAGAGGGUCUUCGGAUUGUAAAGCACUUUAAGUUGGGAGGAAGGGCAGUAAGUUAAUACCUUGCUGUUUUGACGAUACCAACAGAAUAAGCACCGGCUAACUUCGUG
rnacentral:rRNA from 1 species